UACGUAGGGGGCAAGCGUUGUCCGGAAUCAUUGGGCGUAAAGAGCGUGUAGGCGGCCCGAUAAGUCCGCUGUGAAAGUCCAGGGCUCAACCCUGGGAUGCCGGUGGAUACUGUCGGGCUCGAGUCCGGAAGAGGAGUGUGGAAUUCCGUGGUGUAGCGGUGAAAUGCGCAGAUAUCAGGAGGAACAGCCAAUGGCGAAGGCAGCACUCUGGGACGUGACUGACGCUGAGACGCGAAAGCGUGGGGAGCAAACAGG
rnacentral:rRNA from 1 species